rnacentral:lncRNA from 1 species
AUGCAGUGCCCUGGGAACGUGGGUGCGAGUAACUACCGGAGCCACAGCAGGGCCAGGAGGCCCAAGGGAAGGCUGAGGCCUGGCAACGGUGGACUCUUGGAGGCGUGGGACGAGGCUCGGAGCUCCACACCGUACAGCAGCACCUUGCGGGUUGAUCUCGGCUGACUUUUCUCCCCUGAGCCUCUGCAGCAACGGGUUGGUUCAGCUCUCUCAAAAGGUCGUGCCGACCCUGGCCAACAGCUGCGCCCACCCCGGCGGGGGGGUGACACAAACCCAGGCCUUCGUCUUCUACCUCCAGCCGGCUGUGAGCGCUUCGCACCCGUCGAGGCGAGGACGGAGACGCCCCGGCCCAACGGUCGCCCGAGCCCAACGGUCGCC